UCGGGAAUUUUGGGCAAUGGGCGAAAGCCUGACCCAGCAACGCCGCGUGAGGGAUGAAGUAUUUCGGUAUGUAAACCUCGAAAGAAUGGGAAGAAUAAAUGACGGUACCAUUUAUAAGCUCCGGCUAACUACGUGCCAGCAGCCGCGGUAAUACGUAGGGAGCAAGCGUUGUUCGGAUUUACUGGGCGUAAAGGGCGCGUAGGCGGCGCGGUAAGUCACUUGUGAAAUCUCUGAGCUUAACUCAGAACGGCCAAGUGAUACUGCUGUGCUAGAGUGCGGAAGAGGCAACCGGAAUUCUUGGUGUAGCGGUGAAAUGCGUAGAUAUCAAGAGGAACACCGGCGGUGUAGACGGCUUGCUAGACCAUAACUGACGCUGAGGCACGAAAGCGUGGGUAGCAAACA
rnacentral:rRNA from 1 species